GACGAACGCUGGCGGCGUGCUUAACACAUGCAAGUCGAACGGAGUUUAAAUCAGUAGUUUACUACAGAUUUAAACUUAGUGGCGGACGGGUGAGUAACACGUGGGCAACCUGCCCUAAAGAGGGGGAUAACACCGAGAAAUCGGUGCUAAUACCGCAUGACAUUAGAGCUUCGCAUGGAGCUUUAAUCAAAGGAGUAAUCCGCUUUAGGAUGGGCCCGCGUCUGAUUAGCUAGUUGGUGAGGUAGAGGCUCACCAAGGCGACGAUCAGUAGCCGAUCUGAGAGGAUGACCGGCCACACUGGAACUGAGACACGGUCCAGACUCCUACGGGAGGCAGCAGUGGGGAAUAUUGCACAAUGGGGGAAACCCUGAUGCAGCAACGCCGCGUGGAGGAAGAAGGUUUUCGGAUUGUAAACUCCUGUCUUUUGGGACGAUAAUGACGGUACCAAAAGAGGAAGCCACGGCUAACUACGUG
rnacentral:rRNA from 1 species